rnacentral:lncRNA from 1 species
CCCAGCCAUGUGGAAACAUAUUCGCAGAGCACCCACUAGGUGCCAGUAAAUGUAUGAGAAGUCCUGUGGAAUAAGACUGAAGUUGUCCUUGCCUUCAAGCAACUUGCAAUUGCCUAAGAACACAGUUUAAAACCACAAAACUAAGAUGAAAAAUUUGGAGUCUAGUGAAAAGAAGUGACUUGCUCAAAAUCACACAGCACAUGAAGAACAGAGCCUCUAUGAUGAAUUUCUUGACAGCUGAUAUAAGUCUUUUGAGGUACAGCCUGGCACAAAAAGGAUGAGAUUUGUGGGCAGAAUUUUGGAAGAAUAUCUCCCGAGAGAACAUUCAGGACAGAUUGCACUGCUUUGGAGAGCUGGUGAUGAAAUCCGGCCAUUGAAUUACACUGCACUAUAAACUUCAUUUGUUCUUGGGUGCAUAGUGAUUUGCUAUAAUAAUGAUCAUCCAUUUGCCAGACAGCUGAGAUUUUUUAAAAGCUUGAUUGCUUUUGGCAUGGCAUUAUUAGUCCUGGAAGAAGGCAGCACAUUUGUAGCAAUUCUCAGCUUGAGCAAACUAGAAUAUUCACCUCCCACAAAUGCUGGCCAUUUAAGAUCUGUGUGUUAGACUUUGGCAUUUUUUCUAGCAAUUCUACAACAGCAUACACACUUUUAUUUUUCAUUAACACCAUUGUGAAUAUGCCCAUCUCUAAAAUUUCAAGGGGGUUCACUUAAGCUACUGAGUUUUAUGGACAGAAGGGCCAAGAAAAGUCCCCAAAGAAGAGUGCAUGCUGUCAAUUGCCAAUUAUUUUUUUUUCUAAUGAAAGCCAAACAAUUCCAGACAAACCCUUUUCUAAGAAAUGAACUACAUAUCUGGAUCCAAAUAAAUACUCAUCUGAUAAGAAUCUAAAAGCUCUACUGAAUUACAGUGGAUGAGAACAUGAUGAUGGUGAUUCUUUGAAGAUUACUGAGGAAAUCAACUCUCAUGUCUGAUUCUGAUACUUUUAUAGUCCAUCCAUGUUGAAAAUGUCUAUGGAAUGAUUCUGUUGUACCUUGAGAAAUGAAAUUCAUAGGCAUGGAUUCUCUCACACAGCAACUUUAUACACAAAGAUGAGAAUAGAAGAAAGGUCAUUUCCAAAGAAAGUGACAUUUAUUCUGUAUUCACUGAAAAGCCAAAAGAAUUUUCUCAUUCACCCAUACCGACAGAGCCCUACAUCUCCCCGAGAAGAGGUGAAAGAGACUGCUCCUAUCUGCUUCUGCAUCAAACUUCAGGCUCAAGACCUGUCCAGAAAAAAAAAUGUCUUCUUUCAGGGAUGAACUGCUGUCCUCAUCAGACGCCUUAUUUUGUUUAGAAUUCAAGCUCACUUGACAGGUUAUUGUGAAGAUUAAAUGAAUUAAUACAUGUGAAGCAACUGUAACAACUCUUGACAUGCGUGGGCUGGACUUCCAGAAGAAACGUUGUCAGAACUCUGCCCAACUGAAAACAAGCCUACUAAAAAUAAAUAAAUAAAUAAAAUUUUAAAAAA